rnacentral:rRNA from 1 species
UAAAGGGUGCGUAGGCGGCCUGUUAAGUCAGAGGUGAAAGACGGUAGCUCAACUAUCGCAGUGCCUUUGAUACUGAUGGGCUUGAAUGGACUAGAGGUAGGCGGAAUGAGACAAGUAGCGGUGAAAUGCAUAGAUAUGUCUCAGAACACCGAUUGCGAAGGCAGCUUACUAUGGUUUUAUUGACGCUGAGGCACGAAAGCGUGGGGAUCAAACAGGAUUAGAUACCCAGU